CGCUUUAAAUAUAUCAGCACUUUUGGAUGGUUCCAUGUUAGUUCAAAAGACGUACUUGAUGUCGUAUUUAUACAAUUCAUUGAGAUGGUCUUUGGUCGUAUCGACUAUCCGCUAAUGUGACAACUUGAAGAAUAGCUUCCUAACCCCAAUAGAAUUUACCUUUAGACUUCAAAUCAGGUGGGACUACCCGCUGAACUUAA
rnacentral:misc_RNA from 1 species